CAGCAGCCGCGGGAAUACAGAGGGUGCGAGCGUUAAUCGGAUUUACUGGGCGUAAAGCGUGCGUAGGCGGCUUUUUAAGUCGGAUGUGAAAUCCCUGAGCUUAACUUAGGAAUUGCAUUCGAUACUGGGAAGCUAGAGUAUGGGAGAGGAUGGUAGAAUUCCAGGUGUAGCGGUGAAAUGCGUAGAGAUCUGGAGGAAUACCGAUGGCGAAGGCAGCCAUCUGGCCUAAUACUGACGCUGAGGUACGAAAGCAUGGGGAGCAAACAGGAUUAGAGACCCGAGUAGUCCCUGUCUCUUAUAC
rnacentral:rRNA from 1 species